UACAGAGGGUGCAAGCGUUAAUCGGAGUUACUGGGCGUAAAGGGCGCGUAGGUGGUUAUUUAAGUUGGAUGUGAAAUCCCUGGGCUUAACCUAGGAACUGCAUUCAAAACUGGGUAACUAGAGUACUGUAGAGGGUAGUGGAAUUUCCGGUGUAGCGGUGAAAUGCGUAGAGAUCGGAAGGAACACCAGUGGCGAAGGCGGCUACCUGGACAGAUACUGACACUGAGGCGCGAGAGCGUGGGGAGCAAACAGGAUUAGAAACCCGAGUAGU
rnacentral:rRNA from 1 species